rnacentral:rRNA from 1 species
GACGAACGCUGGCGGCGUGCUUAACACAUGCAAGUCGAGCGGUAAGGCCCUUUCGGGGGUACGACGAGCGGCGAACGGGUGAGUAACACGUGGGUGACCUGCCCUCCAGCUCUGGGAGUAAGCCUGGGAAACCGGGUCUAUACCGGAUAUGACUCCAUGACGCAUGUUGGUGGGGUGGAAAGCCCUGUGCGGCUGAGGAUGGGCCCGCGGCCUAUCAGCUUGUUGGUGGGGUGAGGCCUACCAAGGCGACGACGGGUAGCCGGCCUGAGAGGGCGACCGGCCACACUGGGACUGAGACACGGCCCAGACUCCUACGGGAGGCAGCAGUGGGGAAUCUUGCGCAAUGGGCGAAAGCCUGACGCAGCGACGCCGCGUGAGGGAUGACGGCC